rnacentral:rRNA from 1 species
AUUAUUUAUAGAAUAACCUAGGUAAUUCUUGAGCUAAUACUUGCGUCAAUACCCUUAUGGGGUAGCAUUUAUUAGAUUGAAACCAACCCCUUCGGGGUGAUGUGGUGAAUCAUAAUAAUUUUGUGGAUCGCCAGUGGCGAUGGAUCAUUCAAGUUUCUGCCCUAUCAGCUUUGGACGGUAAGGUAUUGGCUUACCGUGGCUUUAACGGGUAACGGGGAAUUAGGGUUUGAUUCCGGAGAGGGAGCCUGAGAGACGGCUACCACUUCCAAGGAAGGCAGCAGGGGCGUAAAUUACCCAAUCUUGACACAAGGAGGUAGUGACAAUAAAUAACAAUGCCGGGCCUUUUAGGUUUGGCAAUUGGAAAGAGAACAAUUUAAACCCAUUUAGGGGGAUCAAUUGGGGGGCAAGUUGG